rnacentral:rRNA from 1 species
GCCAAGCCUAAGCCCCGCCAAACCCCCAAACAUGACAAACCAACUAACCAAACCAUUUGACUAGAAAAGUAUUUGAGAAAGAACUUAAAAGCAGGAGCAACAUUACCGCAAGGGACAACUGAAAGACUAAUGAAAUACUUAAGCACAACAAAGCAAAGACUAACCCUUGUACCUCUCGCAUCAUGAUUUAGCAAGAAACCCCAGACAAAGAGCCCUUAAGCCUGUCCACCCGAAACUGCGUGAGCUACUUCCGGGCAAUUAUAUGAAUCA